AGGUUUUUAGCCCAAAUUUCGCUCAGUUUGGCACUAGAUGGCAGCGGAACGCCGAGGGGGAAGCGUUUGGAUGCAGGAUUGAGUCAUCCCGAGGAGCAGCAGAAUUGGGCUCGACACCCUGGAUGAUCCCAGGGGGACCCGCAGCGAGCAGAAAGGAUUGAACAUGGAAUUCUGCAUUCCGGGAGGAAACGCGCUUUUACUGCAAACCGCACAAAUCAGAACGCCAAAACUCACCUUUCUUUUGGAACAGGCUGCUGAAACAUGAUUUGCAACCCCAUAAAACUGAAACUCCAGAUCUCCAUGAAAGCAAAACCCCAGCUUGUGCCUGCACCUCCAAAUAAAGCCAGUCAGCUUUCAAUUUACAUCCCACCAAAAAAGAAAAAAAAAAAAAUCAAAAUGCAAUGAAGAGAGAUUCUUUGCCUGAAG